AUUAAAGAGGGAGAUCCAAGGAGCUAGCCUCUUAAGAGGAGUGAAUACCUAGUCACUGCAUUUCUCCAUUUGAACUGGCCACCUUUUAAGUGGCCAUUAUCCACAUGUGGCUGCUAGCCAUCGGACUUGGACAGCAGAGGUGUGGAAAGUCCACACAUUCUUCCACUCAAAGGAUAUUUCCCUGCCUUUUUGAAGAUAAU